rnacentral:rRNA from 1 species
GAGAGGACCGGGAUGGACACACCGCUGGUGUACCAGUUGUUCCGCCAGGAGCAUCGCUGGGUAGCUACGUGUGGACGGGAUAAGUGCUGAAAGCAUCUAAGCAUGAAGCCCCCCUCAAGAUGAGAUUUCCCAUGGAGUUAAUCCAGUAAGACCCCUUAGAGAUGAUGAGGUUGAUAGGUCUGGUGUGGAAGCAUGGCGACAUGUGGAGCUGACAGAUACUAAUCGGUCGAGGACUUAUCCAAAUU